CCUAUGUUCUGCCCGAGGUUAAUCUAGCCUACCUUUGUUCUGCCCGAGGUUAAUCUAGCCUACCUUUGUUCUGCCCGAGGUUAAUCUAGCCUACCUUUGUUCUGCCCGAGGUUAAUCUAGCCUACCUUUGUUCUGCCCGAGGUUAAUCUAGCCUACCUUUGUUCUGCCCGAGGUUAAUCUAGCCUACCUUUGUUCUGCCCGAGGUUAAUCUAGCCUACCUUUGUUCUGCCCGAGGUUAAUCUAGCCUACCUUUGUUCUGCCCGAGGUUAAUCUAGCCUACCUAUGUUCUGAGCGAGGUUAAUGUAGCCUUCCUACUGUAAACGUAUAGAAAUU